GUUUGAAAUUUAACGUGCAGCAAACUUUCUCGCUCGUUGUGACACCUAACCUAUCCCACACACGGGUAAAAGUAUCCUGUAUGACACCGGAGCAACUUUUCUUUGAUGGAUAUUACGAGACAACCACGGUUGAGUGAGCUCCGACCACAACGAAGCAAAGGAUCUCCAGAAGGUGUUUUCCUGCAACCAUUCAUUCCAGUGUUACUUUCCAUUUACAGUCAUGGUUUUCUAUAAAAACAGUUCAUCUGUUUCAUCAAGAUCAGAUUGUUCUCAUUCACUUCCACAGUAAGGCCUCACUCUAACCGUUUUUUAAGAGUGGAAAUUAAUUUAGUUUUUGUGGUAAUCAACAUUAUGCUACAGAUGCCGAGAACCAAGAAUACUCCUUUAACCACUAAACUACACCACCUCAACCAUUGGACAGUCGCAUGCAUCAUAUUGGACGUGAAGCUGCAUGUUAGCGACCCUGUAUCCUCCUACACACCCACUGCUCACCCGGACAGCACACAAGUUACUCAUCCCUUCUGUUCAAAAAUACUUUACAAACUAAACAAGAGCUAUAUCUCUGCAGACGCACUCUCUGUGGUUUACAGAGUUCAAAAGUGUGGCUUUUCACAAUCAUCUGCAGUUCUGGAGUAGUGACAGAUGCACCUGUUUUCCCUCUUUAAAGGAUUUUUAACCUCUUUCACCCUCAAUGAGCCUUCCAGAUGUCAAGGAAAAUGUAUUCUUAAAAAACACAUUAAAAUCUUAU